rnacentral:misc_RNA from 1 species
GAUGAAGAACGUAGCGAAUUGCGAUAAGUAAUGUGAAUUGCAGAUUUUCAGUGAAUCAUCGAAUCUUUGAACGCACCUUGCGCUCCUUGGUAUUCCGAGGAGCAUGCCUGUUUGAGUGUCAUUAAAUUCUCAACCUCACCAGUUUUCUGAACUGUUCUUCGAGGCUUGGAUGUGGGGGUUUGUGCAGGCUGCCUCACGGCGGUCCGCUCCCCUGAAAUGCAUUAGCGAGUUCAUACUGAACUUCCGUCUAUUGGUGUGAUAAUUAUCUACGCCGUGGACGAGGAUCAGACUCGCUUCUAACCGUCCGCGAGGACAAUACCUUGACAAUUUGACCUCAAAUCAGGUAGGACUACCCGCUGAACUUAAGCAUAUCAAUAAGCGGAGGA